GCCUAGUUAGCUUAGUUGGUGGCGCGUCUGCCUUGUGAGCGCUAGGCCGCGGGUUCGAUUCCCGCCCGGGGCG
rnacentral:tRNA from 1 species